AUGCGCCUCAAUGGUUGACAUCGGAAUGUCACGAACAAUCGGUUACAGUUCGACAUGUACGACGGUCAAUUAAAGGUUGCAAAUUAUAUCAAAAGCUUUUUUCUUUGGAAUUGUCCUUAUUUGAGGUCGUCUUCAUUCCAUUUAUCUAGUUCACUGGAGGAAAGUGUUCCAGGAGAGAACACAUACGAAUUGCAUAAGGUAAAACAGGGUCCAGGCGGUGAAGAAAGUGAAAUGGAGGAAACUCUGUGCGGUGAAAAUGUCGGUUAAUCUGGGCAAACUUACCAACGUUCAACUGGUUCGUAGGUGUACAAACAGGAGUCACGUCGCUGUCCAGCACCUUCCAGGUAUGCGAUUGCAACUAACACGAGAAUUGAGUUUAUGCAGUGGUAACGGAGAAAAUGAAAUGUUUGGUAUUGUUUCUCCCGUUCACUCGACCGAAAUCUAAUGGUACGUUAACGAGUGUUCUUAUCGCUAUUAGCGAUGUUAACCGUUGUCUUGGACCUUUUUUUAUUGUUCUAUGAUGUGUAACACUGUGGAUUCUAGUACGUUUAAACAUUGUUUUUCUAUACGCACGUGUAACCAAUUCCUGAUGUAAGUAGCAUGCAAAAAUAUUUGCAAAAGAUUGUGAA